AUUGAACGCUGGCGGCAGGCCUAACACAUGCAAGUCGAGCGGAUGAAGGGAGCUUGCUCCUGGAUUCAGCGGCGGACGGGUGAGUAAUGCCUAGGAAUCUGCCUGGUAGUGGGGGAUAACGUCCGGAAACGGGCGCUAAUACCGCAUACGUCCUGAGGGAGAAAGUGGGGGAUCUUCGGACCUCACGCUAUCAGAUGAGCCUAGGUCGGAUUAGCUAGUUGGUGGGGUAAAGGCCUACCAAGGCGACGAUCCGUAACUGGUCUGAGAGGAUGAUCAGUCACACUGGAACUGAGACACGGUCCAGACUCCUACGGGAGGCAGCAGUGGGGAAUAUUGGACAAUGGGCGAAAGCCUGAUCCAGCCAUGCCGCGUGUGUGAAGAAGGUCUUCGGAUUGUAAAGCACUUUUGGUUGGGAGGAAGGGCAGUAAGUUAAUACCUUGCUGUUUUGACGUUACCAACAGAAUAAGCACCGGCUAACUUCGUG
rnacentral:rRNA from 1 species